rnacentral:rRNA from 1 species
GACGAACGCUGGCGGCGUGCUUAACACAUGCAAGUCGAACGGAAAGGCCCUGCUUUUGUGGGGUGCUCGAGUGGCGAACGGGUGAGUAACACGUGAGUAACCUGCCCUUGACUUUGGGAUAACUUCAGGAAACUGGGGCUAAUACCGGAUAGGAGCUCCUGCUGCAUGGUGGGGGUUGGAAAGUUUCGGCGGUUGGGGAUGGACUCGCGGCUUAUCAGCUUGUUGGUGGAGUAGUGGCUUACCAAGGCUUUGACGGGUAGCCGGCCUGAGAGGGUGACCGGCCACAUUGGGACUGAGAUACGGCCCAGACUCCUACGGGAGGCAGCAGUGGGGAAUAUUGCACAAUGGGCGGAAGCCUGAUGCAGCAACGCCGCGUGCGGGAUGACGGCCUUCGGGUUGUAAACCGCUUUCGCCUGUAACGAAGCGUGAGUGACGGUAAUGGGUAAAGAAGCACCGGCUAACUACGUG